UCGGACGGGAUUGGAGAGCUUGCUUUCCAUGAGAGUGGCGCACGGGUGCGUAACACGUAUGUAACCUACCUUGUUCAGGGGGAUAGCCUCUCGAAAGAGAGAUUAAGACCGCAUAACAUUAUUGAAUGGCAUCAUUUAAUGAUCAAAUAUUUAUAGGAACAAGAUGGGCAUGCGGAACAUUAGCUAGUUGGUGAGGUAACAGCUCACCAAGGCUACGAUGUUUAGGGGAUCUGAGAGGAUGACCCCCCACACUGGUACUGAGACACGGACCAGACUCCUACGGGAGGCAGCAGUGGGGAAUAUUGGACAAUAGGGGCAACCCUGAUCCAGCAAUGCCGCGUGUGUGAAGAAGGCCUUAGGGUUGUAAAGCACUUUAGGCUGGGAGGAAGGUAUGAAGUUUAAGAGAUAUCAUAUUUGACUGUACCGGCAGAAUAAGCACCGGCUAACUCUGUGCCAGCAGCCGCG
rnacentral:rRNA from 1 species